rnacentral:rRNA from 1 species
ACGUAUGGGGCAAGCGUUGUUCGGAAUUAUUGGGCGUAAAGGGCGUCUAGGCGGGGGAUUAAGUUAGAUGUGAAAGCUAUGGGCUCAACCCAUAAACUGCAUCUAAGACUGGUUCUCUUGAGUCCGGGAGAGGAGAGCGGAAUUCCAGGUGUAGGGGUGAAAGGCGUAGAGAUCUGGAAGAACACCAGUGGCGAAGGCGGGUCACGGGAUUAGAACUGACGCUGAGGCGCGAAAGCGUGGGGAGGGAAAAG